rnacentral:rRNA from 1 species
UACGGGGGGGGCAAGCGUUGUUCGGAAUUACUGGGCGUAAAGGGCUCGUAGGCGGCCAACUAAGUUGGAUGUGAAAUCCCCAGGCUCAACUUGGGAACUGCAUCCGAUACUGGAUGGCUUGAAUUCGGGAGAGGGAUGCAGAAUUCCAGGUGUAGCGGUGAAAUGCGUAGAUAUCUGGAGGAAUACCGGUGGCGAAGGCGGCAUCCUGGACCGACAUUGACGCUGAGGAGCGAAAGCUAGGGGAGCAAACGGG